UUAUUUUUUAAAAAGUUGUUUAAGAAAGUUUUAUUUUGGCUUAUUAAUUUUUUAUUUGUAUUUAUAUUAUAAAAAAAUUAAAUUUUUAGAUAGUUAAUAUUUUUAGUUAAUAAUUUUAAGUUAAUAUUUUUUAAUGGAUAAUUUAGAAAUACAAAAAAGUUUUAAUUAAAUUUGUGCCAGCAAUUGCGGUUAAACAAAUAAAACAAAAUAAUUUUAUUUGAAUAUAAUAAUUUAUUUAUUAAGUUAAUUUUAUUAUGAUAUUUAUUAGGUGAAAUUUUAAUGUUAUUAAGUUUUAAUAUUUAUAAAGAUUUUAUGAAAUUUUAUUAAAAGACUAGGAUUAGAUACCCUAUUAUUUUAUUUUGUAAAUUUAAAAUUUAAAAAAUUAAUAGAUUAAGAUCUUUAAAAUUAAAAAAUUUGGCGGUAUUUUAUUCAAUUCAGAGGAAUCUGUAGCGUAAUUGAUAAUCCACGAUUUACUUUACUUUUAAUAAUGUUUGUAUAUCGUCGUUUUAAAUGAAUAUUUUAAUAGAAUAAUAAUAUUCUAAUUAUUUUAAUAAUAAAUUUAUUUCAGAUCAAGGUGCAGUUUUUAAAAGAAGCUAUGGAUUACAAUUUUAUUAGAUAAAAUAUAGAUUAAAUAUUUAUAAAUUUUUAAGAAAGAGGAUUUGGUUGUAAGAUUUAAAAAAUUAAAAUCUGAUAAUUUGCUCUAAAAUGUGCACAUAUUGCCCGUCAUUUUCAUUUAAAUUGGAACAAGUCGUAACAUAGUAGAUGUACUGGAAAGUGUAUCUAGUCUG
rnacentral:ncRNA from 1 species